rnacentral:rRNA from 1 species
GACGAACCGAGCGAACGUUGUUCGGAAUAACUGGGCUUAAAGGGCGCGUAGGCGGGCUGUCAAGUUUGGGGUGAAAUGCCACGGUUCAACCGUGGAACUGCCUCAAAUACUGACGGUCUCGAGGGAGGUAGGGGCGAGCGGAACUAAUGGUGGAGCGGUGAAAUGCGUUGAUAUCAUUAGGAACUCCGGUGGCGAAGGCGGCUCGCUGGACCUUUUCUGACGCUGAGGCGCGAAAGCUAGGGGAGCAAACGGG